rnacentral:lncRNA from 1 species
GGGAGGUUUCAUACAUUUUAUUUUAUUGUCUAGUUUUGGUCCACUUUUUCUUUUUCUUUGUCUUUCUCUUCUCCAUCCUUCAAGAGUGCAUAUGUUUAGAUGUGACGUAAUUUAUCAUUUGGCCACAUCAUCGACCUAACUACAUGAUGAAAUAUUUCCAUUGCUACUCUGUCUUUCAAGCGCCCCUGCCUGCAGUCUCUCCCCUGUUUUACACGGCACACACGCUGCUCCUUCUGCCCAGUCGGCAUCUCUGCUCUUACUCUCCCUCUCUUCCGUAGGAUAGUGGUGUGCGUACAUAGACAGCCCCCCUGACGAGGCCCCCAGCUCCAGCAUGAAAGGUUAUGUAAUGAGUUUUUAGUAGAGUUUCCUGGUUGUCAAGAGCCUGACUCGACUCAUAUUGCCGCUUAGGACAGGGAUGAGCUAGCGUACUGCCACUCACUCAUCCUGUCAAUCAGUUAGUAGGGGAAAAAACUCCUCAGAUAAACCGGUAACGCCAAAGGCCAAAAGUAGAACAAGAAGCCAGGUUCUGCCUUACAGCAUGUAGGCAAAGACUUUUUUUCACUCGAGGAAGUGAGUUAGUGAGUUUCGGGUCAGACGGCGGUAGUCAGGCCACCUGUUCCCCCAGCCUCAGAGACCGGUAACAGAGAGAGUGAGCGAGACGACACAGAGAGAAGCGGGGAGUAGCAUCACCACCACACACCCUCUACAAGCUUUUGGGACACUCCACACACCCCUCACGGAGAUUCUAAGCAUGCUGCUGCUGGAGGAGUCGGAGACCUUUGCAGACCAGCCUCAUACCGCUCCCUUCAGCUCGGGGAAUGAAGCACAGGGAGGGGACCCUGCGGGAUGGCAGUGCACCCCCCCAUCUACCUCAUCCUCGGGGGAGACGCCGUCCCACCCCUCAACACAGCCCCACUCUCGACCUUCCUCGCGGCCUGAGAACCAAAUCCCCUCGCAGUCCCUGAAUGGAACCAAGAAGAGGUCCCACUCCAACAAACCUGCACACAUGAGGAGGAACAUCAGGUAUGACCCCUGACCUCUGAAAACAUCCAAACUCACAGAUAUAGAGAACAUCUAAU